rfam:Roseovarius albus strain CECT 7450 genome assembly, contig: 0001
AUGACCGACAGCAAAAUGCCGGAUUUUCAGGCGGGGUAUGAGAAAGGCAUCACCGAAUUGCUCAGUGCCUUGGCAGGGGCGAACCUGAUCUAUGAGGCCG